UAUUUGUCAGGUUUUUCGUAUACCAACAUGCAUUAAAAAAACUUGGAAAUCAAGGAACUUCUAUGGCUGAACAUAAUGAUAUGAAAGAAGUCUUAUGGCAAACGUUAGAGAAAUGAUUGCAAAUACGUCGUAGGCAAAUAAAAAUGCUACGUGUUGAAUUUUUUUCAAUUUCAUUGUGUGUUGUAAAUCUAAUGUUUAAAUUUUGAGUAUUUGAGCUCUCUACCAACACUUUAUUUGAUAUUUAGGUACCUACACAAAAACACUGUUAUGCAAUGUUUUUUUAAAAAUACGAUUAUACCCCUGCAGACU
rnacentral:lncRNA from 1 species